rnacentral:tRNA from 1 species
GCGAGGGUGCCGGAGUGGCCAAACGGGGAGGACUUAAGAUCCUCUGGCUUAGUGCCUUCGCAGGUUCGAACCCUGCCCCUCGCA